rnacentral:misc_RNA from 1 species
GACUCGAUAGAAUCAAACUCUAGAUUUUAGGGGACUUCAGCACACCAUUUUCAUCCAUACAGUGCUUGCUUCACAGCCUACUCAAAUACAGCUUCUCUGUUUGUACAACAACCAAUCUUAAAGAUGAAUUUCCUAGUGCUACUCUACAAAGACAUAUCGACAAGAAGAUGUGAAUCGCCAGUUCUGUAAAUAGCUUUUCAUUAUAGAGUACAUUUUUUUUUCAAAUGAGAAAAAUCAUUACAUUUUUUAGAUUCUCGCCGUUCUUCCUACACAAUCAAUGCCUCUCUCUUCUUUACUUUUUUCCUCCUAAAUGUUUGGUACUUAGCUUUGAC